rnacentral:rRNA from 1 species
AGUGAACGCUGGCGGUAGGCCUAACACAUGCAAGUCGAACGGCAGCACAGUAAGAGCUUGCUCUUACGGGUGGCGAGUGGCGGACGGGUGAGGAAUACAUCGGAAUCUACUUUUUCGUGGGGGAUAACGUAGGGAAACUUACGCUAAUACCGCAUACGACCUACGGGUGAAAGCAGGGGAUCUUCGGACCUUUCGCGAUUGAAUGAGCCGAUGUCGGAUUAGUUAGUUGGCGGGGUAAAGGCCCACCAAGGCGACGAUCCGUAGCUGGUCUGAGAGGAUGAUCAGCCACACUGGAACUGAGACAAGGUCCAGACUCCUACGGAAGGCAGCAGUGGGGAAUAUUGGACAAUGGGCGCAAGCCUGAUCCAGCCAUACCGCGUGGGUGAAGAAGGCCUUCGGGUUGUAAAGCCCUUUUGUUGGGAAAGAAAAGCAGCAGGUUAAUACCCCGCUGUUCUGACGGUACCCAAAGAAUAAGCACCGGCUAACUUCGUG